AGUUGCAGGGUAUAGACCCGAAACCCGGUGAGCUAGCCAUGGGCAGGUUGAAGGUUGGGUAACACUAACUGGAGGACCGAACCGACUAAUGUUGAAAAAUUAGCGGAUGACCUGUGGCUGGGGGUGAAAGGCCAAUCAAACCGGGAGAUAGCUGGUUCUCCCCGAAAGCUAUUUAGGUAGCGCCUCGUGAAGUCAUCUUCGGGGGUAGAGCACUGUUUCGGCUAGGGGGCCAUCCCGGCUUACCAACCCGAUGCAAACUGCGAAUACCGAAGAAUGUUAUCACGGGAGGCACACGGCGGGUGCUAACGUCCGUCGUGAAGAGGGAAACAACCCAGACCGCCAGCUAAGGUCCCAAAGUCAUGGUUAAGUGGGAAACGAUGUGGGAAGGCCCAGACAGCCAGGAUGUUGGCUUAGAAGCAGCCAUCAUUGAAAGAAAGCGUAAUAGCUCACUGGUCGAGUCGGCCUGCGCGGAAGAUGUAACGGGGCUAAACCAUGCGCCGAAGCUGCGGCAUUCAGAGGACAGAUUUCAGACGACAGAGGACGGAAUGAUGUCUUGAAGGGUUUGAUUAAUCAGGUUCUGGAUAGUAAUCGUCUGUGGCUGUGAAGCCAUAGCGAAAAUGCUGACCGGACUGGGAUGUCAUCUGUAAGCUGUAUUCUGACGUCUGUUCUCUGAAUGGGUAGGGGAGCGUUCUGUAAGCCGUUGAAGGUGGCGCUGUGAGGCCCGCUGGAGGUAUCAGAAGUGCGAAUGCUGACAUAAGUAACGAUAAAGCGGGUGAAAAACCCGCUCGCCGGAAGACCAAGGGUUCCUGUCCAACGUUAAUCGGGGCAGGGUGAGUCGACCCCUAAGGCGAGGCCGAGCGGCGUAGCUGAUGGGAAACAGGUUAAUAUUCCUGUACUGAAUGUGACUGCGAAGGGGGGACGGAGAAGGCUAGGCCAUCCGGGCGACGGUCGUCCCGGUUUAAGCGUGUAGGUGGGAGGAGCAGGCAAAUCCGCUCUUCUGUAACACUGAGGCGUGAUGACGAGCUGCUACGGCAGUGAAGUGGCUGAUGCCCGGCUUCCAGGAAAAGCCUCUAAGCAUCAGGUGACAUUGAAUCGUACCCCAAACCGACACAGGUGGUCAGGUAGAGAAUACUCAGGCGCUUGAGAGAACUCGGGUGAAGGAACUAGGCAAAAUGGUGCCGUAACUUCGGGAGAAGGCACGCUGGCGGUAGGUGAGGGGCUUUGCGCCCGGAGCCGAAGCCAGUCGCAGAGACCAGCUGGCUGCAACUGUUUAUUAAAAACACAGCACUGUGCAAACACGUAAGUGGACGUAUACGGUGUGACGCCUGCCCGGUGCUGGAAGGUUAAUUGAUGGGGUUAGCCGCAAGGCGACGCUCUUGAUCGAAGCCCCAGUAAACGGCGGCCGUAACUAUAACGGUCCUAAGGUAGCGAAAUUCCUUGUCGGGUAAGUUCCGACCUGCACGAAUGGCGUAAUGAUGGCCAGGCUGUCUCCACCCGAGACUCAGUGAAAUUGAACUCGCUGUGAAGAUGCAGUGUCCCCGCGGCAAGACGGAAAGACCCCGUGAACCUUUACUAUAGCUUGACACUGAACAUGGAGCCUUGAUGUGUAGGAUAGGUGGGAGGCCUGGAAGUGCGGACGCCAGUCCGCAUGGAGCCAUCCUUGAAAUACCACCCUUGAAUGCUCGAUGUUCUCACUUAAGCCCGUUAUCCGGGCUGAGGACAGUGUCUGGCGGGUAGUUUGACUGGGGCGGUCUCCUCCCAAAGCGUAACGGAGGAGCACGAAGGUUGGCUAAUCACGGUCGGACAUCGUGAGGUUAGUGCAAAGGCAUAAGCCAGCUUAACUGCGAGAGUGACGGCUCGAGCAGGUACGAAAGUAGGUCUUAGUGAUCCGGUGGUUCUGCAUGGAAGGGCCAUCGCUCAACGGAUAAAAGGUACUCCGGGGAUAACAGGCUGAUACCGCCCAAGAGUUCAUAUCGACGGCGGUGUUUGGCACCUCGAUGUCGGCUCAUCACAUCCUGGGGCUGAAGUAGGUCCCAAGGGUAUGGCUGUUCGCCAUUUAAAGUGGUACGCGAGCUGGGUUUAGAACGUCGUGAGACAGUUCGGUCCCUAUCUGCCGUGGGCGCAGGAAGAUUGAAAGGGGCUGCUCCUAGUACGAGAGGACCGGAGUGGACGCACCGCUGGUGUACGGGUUGUCAUGCCAAUGGCA
rnacentral:rRNA from 1 species